UUCAGGGAGGAGCUGAUCUGUUCCUGAUCUCUAAAGAGACUCAAACUUCCUCCUUCAGUUCAGUUCAACUCUCCAACAUUAACUCUGCUCAACAUGGACUAUUAUGGUCUGUCUCUGCUCAUCAUCUCUCUGCUAACAGGAGUCAGAUGCCAACAACUCACUGCGCUUCAGAAAGAAGAGUUCGCUGUAGAAAGCAGCAAAGUUACUCUGUCCUACACUUACUCCAAAACAGCCACUGGAAGUGAUUCUUUCUUCUGGUAUCGACAAUAUCCUGGAAAACCUCCAGAGUUCCUGAUCUCCCACACAGGAACAGGAACUAAACUCCAGGAUCCGGUUCCUGGUUUCUCCUUCAACAUGAAUGCUGAUAAAACCCAGAUGGAUCUGCUGAUCUCCUCUGCUGCAGUGACAGACUCUGCUGUGUACUACUGCGCUGUGAGGCCCACAGUGACAGGAAACACCAGAACCCUGUACAAAAACCUGCAGUUCUCCACAGCAGCCACUAGAGGGCCUCACUCCCUGUUGGUCCACUGGUUGUUGAGUCUUUGGACUGAAGACAAAGACAGAUGAGACGUUGUGACUGAGCUUAGCCUCAACCAUCACCAUUAUCUGCUUUAGACUGUGGCAACAGGACAGAAUGAAAACAAAAACAAUAAAAAAACAAAGUGCUACAAUAAAAUUAUUUGCUGUUAAUGUUUAACAGGUUGAAGGUUCAGAUCCAUGAGCUUUUGUUGCUUUAAUUGGAAGAUUGUGAAAAUGUUUGACUAAAUAUCUCAGAUUCUCUCAGUAAAUUGACUCAGAGGAAGCAGAUUAAAUAACAUGAACUUUAUUUAAAAAAGUAGAAAUUACAGACCAGAUGAGUCUUUUUCUUCAGCAGUGGAGUUUUGUUGAACUGUUGAUGAUUUAUAUUCUGCAGUGACUCA